CCUCCUAUAGCUCAGUUGGUUAGAGCAGAGGACUCAUAAUCCUUUGGUCGCUGGUUCAAGUCCAGCUGGGAGGA
rnacentral:tRNA from 1 species